rnacentral:rRNA from 1 species
GAUGAACGCUGGCGGCGUGCCUAAUACAUGCAAGUCGAGCGAACGGACGAGAAGCUUGCUUCUCUGAUGUUAGCGGCGGACGGGUGAGUAACACGUGGAUAACCUACCUAUAAGACUGGGAUAACUUCGGGAAACCGGAGCUAAUACCGGAUAAUAUUUUGAACCGCAUGGUUCAAAAGUGAAAGACGGUCUUGCCGUCACUUAUAGAUGGAUCCGCGCUGCAUUAGCUAGUUGGUAAGGUAACGGCUUACCAAGGCAACGAUGCAUAGCCGACCUGAGAGGGUGAUCGGCCACACUGGAACUGAGACACGGUCCAGACUCCUACGGGAGGCAGCAGUAGGGAAUCUUCCGCAAUGGGCGAAAGCCUGACGGAGCAACGCCGCGUGAGUGAUGAAGGUCUUCGGAUCGUAAAACUCUGUUAUUAGGGAAGAACAUAUGUGUAAGUAACUGUGCACAUCUUGACGGUACCUAAUCAGAAAGCCACGGCUAACUACGUGCCAGCAGCCGCGGUAAUACGUAGGUGGCAAGCGUUAUCCGGAAUUAUUGGGCGUAAAGCGCGCGUAGGCGGUUUUUUAAGUCUGAUGUGAAAGCCCACGGCUCAACCGUGGAGGGUCAUUGGAAACUGGAAAACUUGAGUGCAGAAGAGGAAAGUGGAAUUCCAUGUGUAGCGGUGAAAUGCGCAGAGAUAUGGAGGAACACCAGUGGCGAAGGCGACUUUCUGGUCUGUAACUGACGCUGAUGUGCGAAAGCGUGGGGAUCAAACAGGAUUAGAUACCCUGGUAGUCCACGCCGUAAACGAUGAGUGCUAAGUGUUAGGGGGUUUCCGCCCCUUAGUGCUGCAGCUAACGCAUUAAGCACUCCGCCUGGGGAGUACGACCGCAAGGUUGAAACUCAAAGGAAUUGACGGGGACCCGCACAAGCGGUGGAGCAUGUGGUUUAAUUCGAAGCAAGGCGAAGAACCUUACCAAAUCUUGACAUCCUUUGACAACUCUAGAGAUAGAGCCUUCCCCUUCGGGGGACAAAGUGACAGGUGGUGCAUGGUUGUCGUCAGCUCGUGUCGUGAGAUGUUGGGUUAAAUCCCGCAACGAGCGCAACCCUUAAGCUUAGUUGCCAUCAUUAAGUUGGGCACUCUAAGUUGACUGCCGGUGACAAACCGGAGGAAGGUGGGGAUGACGUCAAAUCAUCAUGCCCCUUAUGAUUUGGGCUACGCACGUGCUACAAUGGACAAUACAAAGGGCAGCGAAACCGCGAGGUCAAGCAAAUCCCAUAAAGUUGUUCUCAGUUCGGAUUGUAGUCUGCAACUCGACUACAUGAAGCUGGAAUCGCUAGUAAUCGUAGAUCAGCAUGCUACGGUGAAUACGUUCCCGGGUCU